GGGCAGGCGCGGGUCCGAGAGGGACGGCUUCUGAGUCGGCGGCGCCGCGGACAGGCGCUCGGGGCAGCCCGUGCCUCGCUGAGGUCCCCGCCCCGUCCCGGCCGGGCCGGCUCGCCUGUCAGUCACUGGGGCGGAGGCAGCGGCGGUAGCAGGGCCGGAGACGGAGGGUGAGAAGAGCGCGGGCCUGGCGGAGCCGAGGGGACCUGCCACAGCCCCUUAACUCCACGGACUCUUCGCCCGAGAUUUGCGAAGCUGUACCCCUGCGCUUCGUUGGACGCCUCCGUAACCCCCGAAGGGCUCUCUCCCCCGUAACCUCCCACCCCCGUGACCUCCUCCUAGAACCCGAGAUCUCACUAGGGUGUUGUGGUACAGGCCAUCGACCCUGUGACCCCUUGGUUUUCCCCAGGCCUCGAUUCCCUAUGACUCCCUCUUCAUAGAUUCUGGGGACAGAACCCUGAUCUACCAUCAGGACCCCCGCCUGCAAACUCCUCACUGACGGCUUUCUCCUAGGAGUUCCCCUCAGUGGGUCUCCUCCUAAGGGCACCCCUUUUGGCCUCUGGCUAGCCCCCCACCCUCAACCGAGGUGGGGCGGCCUCGGCAGCCAUGCUCGCCCUGGGACCCCUGUCACCCCACCACUUCCUGGGCACCCAAGCCGGAGUCUAGCAGGGGGCCAGCAGCCAAGAGGCUGGGGCAGGAGACAGGCCACGGUCCACCUCCCUGCUGGGGAGGGAGCAAAGAUGGAGCGGCGGGAGGAGCAGCCGGGGGCUGCAGGGGCUGGAGCAGCGCCAGCCUUGGACUUCACGGUGGAGAAUGUGGAGAAGGCGCUGCACCAGCUCUACUAUGACCCCAACAUUGAGAACAAGAACCUGGCUCAAAAGUGGCUGAUGCAGGCCCAGGCGUCCCCUCAGGCCUGGCACUUCAGCUGGCAGCUCCUGCAGCCGGACAAGGUGCCUGAGAUCCAGUACUUUGGGGCCAGCGCCCUACACAUCAAGAUCUCUCGCUACUGGAGUGACAUCCCUACUGACCAGUAUGAGAGCCUAAAGGCACAGCUCUUCACCCAGAUCACCCGCUUUGCCAGUGGCUCCAAGAUUGUGCUGACUCGGCUGUGCGUGGCGCUGGCCUCACUAGCUCUCAGCAUGAUGCCCGACGCUUGGCCAUGUGCUGUGGCAGAUAUGGUACGGCUGUUCCAGGCCGAGGACUCACCGGUGGAUAGCCAGGGCCGCUGCCUGGCCCUGUUGGAGCUGUUGACAGUGCUGCCCGAGGAGUUCCAGACCAGCCGCCUGCCCCAGUAUCGCAAAAGCCUGGUGCGGACCAGCCUGGCAGUGGAGUGUGGGGCUGUCUUCCCGCUGCUGGAGCAGCUGCUGCAGCAGCCCAGCUCACCCAGCUGUGUGCGUCAGAAGGUGCUCAAGUGCUUUUCCAGCUGGGUGCAGCUGGAGGUACCGCUGCAAGACUGCGAGGCGCUCAUUCAGGCUGCCUUCGCGGCUCUGCAGGACUCAGAGCUCUUUGACAGCAGUGUGGAGGCCAUUGUCAAUGCCAUCUCACAGCCUGAUGCCCAGAGGUAUGUGAACACGCUCCUGAAACUCAUCCCACUGGUGCUGGGACUGCAGGACCAACUGCGACAGGCAGUACAGAAUGGGGACAUGGAGACCUCCCACGGCAUCUGUCGCAUUGCUGUGGCUCUGGGCGAGAACCACUCCCGGGCCUUGCUGGACCAAGUGGAGCACUGGCAGAGCUUCCUGGCCCUCGUCAACAUGAUCAUGUUCUGCACGGGCAUCCCUGGCCACUUCCCUGUCAACGAGACCACCAGCUCCCUGACCCUCACUUUCUGGUACACACUGCAGGAUGACAUUCUGUCCUUUGAGGCAGAGAAACAGGCUGUGUACCAGCAGGUGUACCGGCCAGUCUACUUCCAGCUGGUGGAUGUGCUUCUGCACAAGGCCCAGUUCCCUUCUGAUGAAGAAUAUGGAUUCUGGUCCUCCGAUGAGAAGGAGCAGUUCCGGAUUUACAGGGUGGACAUCUCAGACACGCUCAUGUAUGUCUAUGAGAUGCUGGGGGCCGAGCUCCUCAGCAACCUCUAUGACAAGCUGGGUCGUUUGCUCACCAGCUCAGAGGAGCCCUACUCCUGGCAGCACACAGAGGCCCUGCUCUACGGCUUCCAGUCCAUUGCAGAGACCAUCGAUGUCAACUACUCCGAUGUGGUGCCCGGGCUCAUUGGGCUCAUCCCACGGAUCAGCAUCAGCAACGUGCAGCUGGCGGACACUGUCAUGUUCACCAUCGGAGCUCUGUCUGAGUGGCUGGCUGACCACCCCGUCAUGAUCAACAGCGUUCUACCCCUUGUGCUGCAUGCCUUAGGCAAUCCCGAGCUCUCUAUCUCUUCUGUGUCCACCCUCAAGAAGAUCUGCCGAGAGUGCAAGUAUGACCUGCCACCCUAUGCUGCCAACAUCGUGGCUGUCUCCCAGGAUGUGCUGAUGAAACAGAUCCAUAAGACGAGCCAGUGCAUGUGGCUGAUGCAGGCGCUGGGCUUCCUGCUGUCGGCCUUGCAAGUGGAGGAGAUCCUUAAAAACCUGCACUCGCUUAUCUCACCAUAUAUCCAGCAGCUGGAGAAGCUGGCAGAAGAGAUACCUAAUCCUUCCAACAAGCUGGCCAUUGUCCACAUCUUGGGGCUUCUCUCCAACCUCUUCACCACACUGGACGUCAGCCAUCAUGAGGAUGAUCAUGAAGGCCCUGAGCUCCGGAAGCUGCCAGUGCCACAGGGACCCAACCCCGUGGUGGUGGUACUGCAGCAAGUCUUCCAGCUUAUCCAGAAGGUGCUGAGCAAAUGGCUGAAUGAUGCCCAGGUGGUAGAGGCGGUGUGCGCUAUCUUUGAGAAAUCCGUUAAGACGCUGCUGGAUGACUUUGCCCCCAUGGUGCCACAGCUGUGUGAGAUGCUGGGGCGGAUGUACAGCACCAUCCCCCAGGCCUCCGCUCUUGACCUCACUCGACAGCUGGUCCACAUCUUUGCUCAUGAGCCUGCCCACUUUCCCCCCAUCGAGGCCCUCUUCCUGCUCGUCACCUCCGUCACACUCACCCUCUUCCAGCAAGGGCCCAGGGAUCAUCCUGAUAUUGUUGAUUCAUUUAUGCAACUCCUGGCACAGUUGAAUAGAGUUUCUUCAUCUGUUUCCGUGGAAGUUGACAACCCAACAUCCUCCUUUAGUGCCCCUUUGCCUCAACUAGCUCAGUCCUCCACAGAGACCAGGGAGAGGCUGAUCCCGAAGGGAGGGAGCUGGGCUGGCCUGAGGGGUGGGCAUGGGAGGGGGUGGUAACCAUCCGUGCCCAGCAGCUCCUGUGGGCCCAAAGUGACUGAAGAGCUCAGGGGCAGGCCCGGAGUUGAAGGGCCUGGGGUUCACUGUCCCUGUGCUCCUGCGGGGAACUGCCUGCCUCAGUGCCCCCAGCCUGCUCUUGAGAGGUAGGCUGGGAGGAGCUCCGAGGGAGGGGCCAAGCUGAAUGUGCUGCAGUGGAGCCCAGAGCUGGGCUGUCGCUGGGCUGCUGGACAGGUCCUGCUGCUGCUGGGAGGUGGGGUGCUGGCUCCAUUGCGAGAUGUGUCUGGUGUGUGUUUAAGUGUCUCGGAUCUGACUCGUGUGUUUUGAGUCCGGUUUGGGCAGGGAACAGAAAUCAUGUGGCUGCUGUGAGCAGUAUGUGUAUUGUUCUGAGUGUCAGAAUAAAUGUGUAGCUGUAGUGAGCCUGAGCACUGAUGCGUGUUGUGUGCUGACGUGCAUUAGACAUGGAUGGAGUUUGAGUGUCGAUGUUUGUUGGAGGUGUGUGUGUUGGGCUGUGGGAGUGCAUGUAAUGGAGGGUGGGAGUAUAUAUGGUAGUGGUAUGUCUGCAUGAGGGUUGUAUGUUUGGGAAGAUACACGUGUCGGGCUGUGGGAAUGUGGGGUUAGUAUGUGUGUCAGGGAGAUCCUGUGAGUUGGGAGCUCCUAUGGGUUGGGGUCUAUGAUGUGUUUCUUUGUUUAAUCACUCCACAAAUAUUUUUUGAGUGUGUUAUAUGUGCUUGAUCAUGUGGUAGGUGCUGAGAAUAUAAUGGUGAGCAAAAGCAGACACGGUUCUUGCCCUCUUGGAACUUACAACCUAGUAGAGGGGUAUAGGAGGAGUGGGAAUGGACAGUGUGCUCUGGGCCUGGGUGGACAUGUGUGUGAGGGUGUAUCUUUGGGGCGAGGACAUUUGAGUGUGGGUGUGCAUGGGGAGAGUGUGCGUGCUAGAGAACUGGGGAGGGUGAGGGCCUGGCUGUGUGGAUAUGGUUUGGGGAUACAGGGUUGGGCUUGGGAUGAAUGUGUAGCGAGGGUGUGUUGCAAAUGGGGAGAGUGGUGUAUACAAGGGAUGUGAUUGAGGUGUGAUAGAGGGUAAGUAGGGCGUUUUAAGUGAGGGGCCUGUGGGGCUGUUUGCGCUUGAGUGAAAAUGAGGGAGUGGAAGGUAUAUGAAGGCUGGAGGGUUGGGGGUUGAUGUGGAAUGCAUUGGGGGCUGCUGGGGGACAGCAGUGCUUGAUGAUUGUGGGAGCUGUGCAGAGCAUCUCCUAUGACCUGAGGAUGUGCCAUUCAUGCCUUGGUACCACUUGGGGUGAGCUCUCAGCCCCUAUACUCCAUCCACUUCCCCUGACAUGGCAGCCCUGGCUCCUGGGCUGGAUAUGAAUGAGAAGGGCCCGGACACAGGCUGUCCUGGGUAGGGUGGGGCCGUGGCUCCCAGGCUCCUGCCCUGCCUUUCCUCUUCCUAAGCUGGAGAGUGUCUGAGGAAUGCAGGCAGGACAUAAGAGGGGGGCUGUGAACUGGGCUCCCUGUCCAGCUGCCAUCUCUGCCCUGAUAACAAAUCAAGGGGGCCUCAACUGCCUCUGUGAAUCAAAGUGAAGUCACUGCUGGCAACCUGGAGCCUGCAGGAGGCUCUGAAGCGGAAGCCAGAUUUGUUCCUAUGUGAACGACUGGAUGUCAAAGCUGUGUUCCAAUGUGCUGUGCUGGCGCUCAAGUUCCCCGAAGCACCUACUGUCAAGGCCUCCUGUGGCUUCUU